rnacentral:rRNA from 1 species
CUAACCUGCCCACUGAUUUAUUAAAGGGCCGCGGUAUAUUGACUGUGCAAAGGUAGCAUAAUCAUUUGUCUUUUAAUUGAAGGCUGGAAUGAAUGGUUGAAUGAAGUAUUAACUGUCUCAUUCUAAAAAAAAUAAAAAUUUAAUUUUUUAGUCAAAAAGCUAAAAUAAAUUUAGAGGACGAGAAGACCCUAUAGAUCUUUAUAAUAAAAUUUUAUAAAAAUUUUUAGAAUAAAAAAAAAAUUAUUAAAUUAAAUUAUUUGGUUGGGGUGACAGGAAAAUUUAACAAACUAUUUUUAUAUAAGAACAAUAAUUUUUGAAUAUUUGAUCCAAUUUUAUUGAUUAAAAAAUUAAGUUACCUUAGGGAUAACAGCGUAAUUUUUUUAGAGAGUUCAUAUCGAUAAAAAAGAUUGCGACCUCGAUGUUGAAUUAAAGGU